rnacentral:rRNA from 1 species
AGUGAACGCUGGCGGUAGGCCUAACACAUGCAAGUCGAACGGCAGCACAGGAGAGCUUGCUCUCUGGGUGGCGAGUGGCGGACGGGUGAGGAAUACAUCGGAAUCUACCUUUUCGCGGGGGAUAACGUAGGGAAACUUACGCUAAUACCGCAUACGACCUUCGGGUGAAAGCAGGGGACCUUCGGGCCUUGCGCGGAUAGAUGAGCCGAUGUCGGAUUAGCUAGUUGGCGGGGUAAAGGCCCACCAAGGCGACGAUCCGUAGCUGGUCUGAGAGGAUGAUCAGCCACACUGGAACUGAGACACGGUCCAGACUCCUACGGGAGGCAGCAGUGGGGAAUAUUGGACAAUGGGCGCAAGCCUGAUCCAGCCAUACCGCGUGGGUGAAGAAGGCCUUCGGGUUGUAAAGCCCUUUUGUUGGGAAAGAAAAGCAACCAGUUAAUACCUGGUUGUUCUGACGGUACCCAAAGAAUAAGCACCGGCUAACAUCGUGCCAGCCGCCGCCGUAA